UUCCAGCACAGAAUGCCUUCCCAUGGCCCA
rnacentral:piRNA from 1 species